rnacentral:lncRNA from 1 species
ACACAACAUGACACUCAGGUUCAUCCUCAAACCCUGAAGAAUUUGACAGACUUCCAGCAACACCCAUCAAUUUUCAUCAAACUACAUGGCAAUUCCUAGUAAACGGCAAAAGCAGAAGGUGAGUCUGCCUAGUGAGCAAUUUGCUUCCAACUCUGAAAGAAGACUCAAGUAAAGGCAACAUCACAUAGCCAACUCCUUGGGUUUUGGGGCA